UACGUAGGGUCCGAGCGUUAAUCGGAAUUACUGGGCGUAAAGCGUGCGCAGGCGGUUCGCUAAGACAGAUGUGAAAUCCCCGGGCUUAACCUGGGAACUGCAUUUGUGACUGGCGGGCUAGAGUAUGGCAGAGGGGGUAGAAUUCCACGUGUAGCAGUGAAAUGCGUAGAGAUGUGGAGGAAUACCGAUGGCGAAGGCAGCCCCCUGGGCCAAUACUGACGCUCAUGCACGAAAGCGUGGGGAGCAAACAGG
rnacentral:rRNA from 1 species